CAGUCACGAAAGCUUCAAAUCAAGAUGAUCACGAAACCAAUUUUAUUCAAAAACGGUCCUUUAACAGGCACGGGUUGCCUUCCCAGCAGUCUCCACGAGAUGGCGAUGUACACCACCCCAUCACCAUUUGAUUAUCUGGUGUAUUCGAGCGUGUGGCCUGAUGCUACCUCGCCACGAAUUACUUUUCUUGCGAUGCAAAAACGCCGAAAUCGCAGAUCGCCAACUUUUCCGCCACAGCUACCGCAAUUAUCACACUCGGCAGUACAAUGUCACAAUAUUUGAGACAUGGGUCAGGCAACAACAGCAGCUUAUUGGCGUCUGUGAACUCGGCUGCUCAUGGCUGAUGUCCUUCUGCUGUAGUCUCUCCCAAGCAUCUCCUUUCUGUGUCGGAGUGAGUUCUUUAUUCAGUAUACAAACUCUGGGCUGGGUUGGCUUUGCUUAAAUUGAUUAAUUUAUUCAUAUAAUUAAGCCCCUACAUCCUGUUUGGAUUACAAUAGCACUGCACACUUUUGGAAUUAACACUCGGGUGCACGUGGUUCCACUGCUGAUUAAUCAACUCGAAGUGUAAUGCCGUGCCACUGAUGAAUUGCCCGCCUGCAUGAAGCUCGGUUUAAUUACUCACAAAACCUGCGCCUCCUGUGCUCGUUCACGAGCCCCUUCCACCCCCCCACGAUUCACACUGCAUGGCAGCACUCCACUCUCAACUGUUAAACAAGCAACUUAAACCACUGAACUUCACCAACCCACACUGGCCAGGAGUAUGGGCACCCAAGCACUGACGUCUGCCAUGGUGUGGGGGAGGCCUUCAUCCAGCAGUGGACUGACCAAGAUCUUUGUCCUCCAUGAGGACGCGGCUGGUGUGGAGAGGUGUCUGGGGCACCUCCAUGGAUUGCUGCAAUAAGAAACAAGGAGGUGAAGAAGCAGCCCCACCAAUUGCUUGCUCACGUCACUGCUGGCAGAAGGGCCUCUGCUACGGUAGCCCCUCCCUGGAUGGUAUUUGGACUACUCUUCCUUGCUUUGCUGGCCAGACGUCUUGGAAGAGGUGGGAGUAUUCGCACUUGACCCCCCCCAUCGCACGCAACCUGCCAAUCGACGAGCUGCGCUUGACCCAUUGAUACUGCCGGGCGGACAGAGGCGGAGAGAUUGAAGAAGCUUUCCUAUUGUUUACACUGCCACGCCGAGACCGAGAACUGGCACCCGCUAGAUUGGACGUCCAGAAUGCUAACCCAUUGGAAAAGACGAAAAACCCCGAUGGAGAGUAAUCGUCCAAUGUGUUUUAUUUUUUUCCUUUUUCGGAAGCAGAGGCUGCCGGGGAUCUGGCGUGGCGUCACGCAGGAUCCCCGGCGUCUGUCACUACUCACCAGAGCUUACGGCCGCACCGGCUAUAAACUAUUUUAAAUGUUACCACGUGAGGCCCACUUGAGCUAUAUAGAGCUCUUUUUUCAAAAGCGACCCGGAGACAAAUCCACAAUCGGAGUGAGAAAGGAAGCGUCAAUGAAUUAUUUUCCAGCGUACUUGAUUUACAAAAAUUUGGCUAUCUAAUGUACGCCAAAUUGACCCUAUUAACGUAAUUUAAAUUAAGUUGGCGAUAGCCAAUCCUGCACCAGUCCACGGUGCAGAGAUACAAUUGUGGUGGUCAUGGGUAGAGAGUGGGAUAGGUCACGUAGGAACCGCCAGGAAGCCUCUGCACACAUUCGUGAUCUCCGAUUGGCACGGUUAGCUACGUAGGGUGCAAAAGAAGUUCUACAUUCAUACACAGUGCCAGGAAUCACUGAUUAAAUAUGUCAAUUGGAGUCCCAUGGAUGGUGGCAUAGACGAAGAAAUAAUAUUAGUUGUCAUCAGCAUUUCUACAGGGCAACUCCAAAAUUCAUGGCAUAUUAUAAAUAGCAAAGUUAUUUUUACCAAGUGAGGCCUUGCCAAUUAAUCUCGACUCCCAUUCAAUAUUGUCACCCCCUCUGUGGGCAUGCACAUUAUCAGAAUGCUCCACAUGCCUUUUGAAAAGCGACUGUGUAUUUUGGGUACUUACAUCAGCUCCUCUGGGCCUGCUUUAGCUACUCGCUUGGCAAACUUGGUACGCGCUAUAAAUCAGACUUGUGGUGAAGGCAUUGAGUGUAAGGCAUAGACCGGUCGUUAGCUUUUGACUUACAUUUAUCCAUGGAUGAUUCAUGAAUUCGGUGAUUGUCAUCCGCGCAGUUGGGUCCGUCUUCAGAAGAUGACGGAUCAGCUGCUUUGCUGGGGUCGGGCAUAAAACGCACAGAAUUUCCAUCGCUCGGUUUCCAAAAUAACUGAACCAAUCGUUAAUUUCCGUUACGACAUCAGUGGUACAACACAAAAACUUAAAUAAAAUCAAGCAUCGCUUGGGCAGGACGUGUCCACUAGAAAGUAUAACGGUCAAGAAUAUUAUUCGAGGGAGGGCGUGCACCGAGGAGAUGGAGCAAUGAAAUCAUCGUGAGAAGUAGGGGAAAGCCGCCCUACAUGGGGAUGCCGUUAUGCUCGGUGCACUGUGCAUGACCGAUGAAGACACCCAAGCCCCCACGGCCGCUCCGUUACCUUCUUCGGAGACGUCAGCCCACUCGGGGUUAGGGAACUCGUACUGGCCCAUGCGGAUGCGUUUCUUCAUCCCUGGUGAAAUGGCCAACCCGUGAUUCGAGUAGAAGGGAGGAAAGCCACACAAACUGCACGCGCACACACACAUGCACAAAAACAAAGAUUCCCCCCGUAUAGCCUUAACAGACUGUUGGGGCAAGCGCUGUUAGCGAGCACCUAAUGAAGGCCGGUACGGCACAUUAGGGAGCGAGUAGCCAGCACUAAGCUCCGCCGCCUUUGUCUCCCGAGUGGCGAUAACCAGAACCGGUUCAGAUAAUUGUCACUGGUGUUGGCCGUGAGCAGGAAUUUAACGCGGGUUGUGGGGUUCGUAGCGCAGCGCACUAACCGCUACGCUACCGCUCGACGCGCACACAAACAGACCUUAGACAGACAAGCCCCUUGUGUACGUUCACCACAAUGCGGUCGUCUAUUGCUCAGGAUGAAUGCUGCGAGCUCAGAUUUAAUGCUGUGAUUCAAUUUAGGCGCAACACCUGGCAAAGGCAGCGACGCCCAAGUCAAAUGCGGAGAGAGCAGACACCCGAGGCAUGUCUGUAGGUUGAACUUCUUUCACACCCUAAUUAGUGACCCCACUCCCCCCCCCCUCAAAGUAGCCAUUGCGGUUAAGGGAGAGAGACGCUGAGCCCAGGAAUUACAUCACUUACAGGAUGUACAUGAUGACUCCCAGUGACCACAUGUCGCAGGACUUGUCGUAUUUCACAGAGCCCAAGACCUCCGGCGCUGCAAAACAAAAACAUCACCAAUAAAAAACAGUGCGCGCGUUCCCAAGUGCCUCGCACUCGGGCACUGCUGCGUGUCACCAGCAUGCGUGGGGAAACACCGCCACCCUGUGGCAUCAAACUUAGUUACAAAAUGUUGACUCGGUUUUUACCCCUUCUGGCAAUAAUACAGUCGGCGUUUUUGUUACCCACGUUACAGAAUGGGAAUACGAGUUGUACAAAGUUAGUCUGACGGACGACGUGGUGGAAAAUCGUGCUUCAUGCAGAAUAUGCUUUACAUAUCAGAAUGUCCACCUCUAGUGUGUUAUCGACGAUGGUUACACAAGCGCAGCACUUGCUCAUCAUUUGCCGUGCUGCAGCGAGAGCAUUCGCAAUGAAUAAUACCUGUUGACUGCUUAUACUGAGAUUGGGACAGGCAGCAGAAAUAAGAACACCCUCAACUCGCCUCAAGUGGUGUUACUAUUAGUGCAGCUUCCUCUUAAUAUACAUAGCACGGUUGGCUCCUUACAAUGGAAAAGAAGUUCAACAUACGUACAUCAUAAUUGCCAUUGAUGUUUUCACACCUCACCAUAGCUUCUUUAUGCCUGAUCCCGCAAUAUUUCAACAACGGAGAUGUUGAUCUCCAAGGCCCCUUCUCAGUAUCCCACCAUCGGGAUUUAGGUCUUCCCCUGGGUCACCCACUAACUAAGCCGCCGCUCCAGUGGUGGUGUCUGUAACCUGUCCUCAGUCCUGAAAACGUCUCCCCCCACCCCACCACCUGUGUCAGCGUCGUUCUCCUCUUUGAAUCCCUCCUGCCACGUUUAACUCAAAAACCUCCAGCUGGUCCACCCACCCCCCCCCCCCCCCCCACAUCUACACCAUGAUAUUGCUUUUGCAUCCGUCCCAUUGCCAUUCAUUUAACCAGGCAAACGUCCAUUGGAAAUUAUUGUCGCCUCUUGAAGGCAGACUUUGAUCUGCAUUCUGUCGUUAUUCCUAUAGACGAUUUAAUAGACUGGGUUAUCAUAGAACAUGAGAUGUAACUUGGUGUCAGAGCAUAGCACACAGUAGCCUGCUUAUUUGAAAGUUAGCACAGGUUGUUUAACAUCAAGAUUAUGAAGUGGAACCGUAUAUUAAACCAUCAAAGCGACACACAUGAGCCUAAAUAAAAACACUCGGCUGCUGGGAAUGCACGUGACAUUAAAAAUGGGGAACCUUCGCACCGCUUCCCCGUGUUUGACGUCCCAGCGAAUCAGAGCGGCACGAGUGUGACAUGCGGACUUUACGUCGGACACGCGCGUGCAGCAUUUCCCCCUCCAAAAGGCAAAACAAAAUAAAAAACAUCAAUAAUAGUCGCCACGUGUGUGUGUGUGUGUGGGUAGCGUCCUUACC